CCUGCCCAAAGCCUGGGUAAUUGUGGGAGAUGGUGCGUUUCAUCUUCAACGUGGAAGACCCGCUCCCACGAAGCCCCGUUUCAUUGGCUUCUCAGAAGCCGAGGCUCACUUCUCUUUGCGUGGCUUUAAGGCACCCUGGUGGCUUCUUUCCAUUUCCUCAUCUGCAGGAGCAGCAGUUCAACUUUCUGUUCUCCUUUUUGCUUCUGGGUCUUACAAGGCGCUAUUUCUGCAUUAUGGACUCUCCCCCUUCUCCGCUGCCCUUCCACCGUCCAAUGGCCAUAGGAACGCCCACCUCCUUCGUGACAGCUGGAUAAGAUAAUGUCCGAGUGGAAGCUUGCUUAGCAAAUAAAAGGACAGGACACCUGGGCCUAAAGUGCUGGUUCAGUGCUUUUUAGUGUAUGUCCCAAAUGUUGUGUCGGGUAGAUUUAUACUUAGAAUCACGGUUUUCUCAUACUUACCUGGCAGCCUGUAUUUCAUCUGACAACCUGAGUAUGAGGGGCUUCACCGAGGUCACGGUUGGUUGGAACCGUUGGAGGGAACAGUAGGGAUAGUGAAGUGUCACCUUGCCCGAGUCAGAGUGUCUCCAAAAGCCACAGGUUGGUUCUUAUAAAAUCAGCAAUGCCGCAGGAGCUUCAAGACGUCAAGAGACGCCCGGAUGAAGCCCUGGAGGGUCCUGCUCCUCUCCUCCCGCCCAGGUCAGUACUGACCCUCACUGUCAGUCACCCUUGGCCUCUGCUUCGCGAGGCUCCAGCAACCCUUCCCCAGUGUCUGAGUGGCUUCUAGGUAUUCUCCUCUCCCUGCUCAAACACAUGCCCCAAAGUGGCUUCCAAGGGGUGGUGCUGGGGGUCCGCCCCAUUUUAUCUCUUCCCCUGGAGCAGAACUGGCAGAGGCUGCAGUGACAGGCCGUCAUCCUAUGGUGACCACGUGGAGACAGAAUCCUUGUGCAGACUGGCUCUUCCUUAAGAGUGACAUGAAGAGCAAGCUGCCACAGCCUUGGGGAAGAGACUUCUCUUGGGAACUUUGUGAGAAUUUCAUGUCCCCUGAGUGGCAACGUGAGCAAAAAUGCCUUUUGGGAAAGAUUAAGGGAUUGCAACGAAAUUUAAAGAUUAGUGCAGGCUGACCCUAUUUGUUUCCCAUCUGAUAAGAGAGAUCCUUAACUGCUAUAUACAGAUUUCUAAGACGGGGAAAUUGCCUCCGGGCUCUUCCAACACCAUCUCUAUCACUCUGUGUUGGAGAACUUUCCACAUCAGUUUGUAGAGAACUACCUGAGUUUUAAUGGCUCAUGCAUGGUAUUUCACAUUCCGGCUAGAAGGCAUUAAAACAAAACAAAACAAACAAAAAACACUGAGAUUGGUGUAUAUUUUGCUUCUGAAGAGAAGCAAUACAGAAUGUUGACUGAGAUUCUUUAGAUUCAAAUCUCAGCUGCAGAAGUCCUAGCUGUGUGCUGCUGGACAAGAAGCUCAACCUCUCUGUGCCUCAAUGCCCUCGUCUGUACCGUGGGGACAGUCCGAACACCUAUCUCAAGGAGGAUUCAAAGAGGGACACACGCAAAGGCAUCCAGGACGGUGGGUGCCCAGGGAGCAUGAGUCAUCAGUAUUAGUAUCGCAAAUUUUUUUAAACGUAACUAGGAAAACUUCACGGGGCAGCGAUUAACAUUUAACAAUGCUCCCUUGUUUCCAUGUUUCCUUGAAUAGGGUUUGAAAACAGAUUUUUUAAACAUCAGUUCCCUAAAAAAAUAAAAAGCCCAAAAAACUAAUAUCUGCUCAUUAUAGAAAAUUUAGAAACAGAAAGAAAAUCGCCCAUAGUGAUUUCUGUUGCCGUUGGCCCCCCGCGGGGUGGGGGUGAUCCCCUUCCGGUUCUGCUUCAUUCCCGCUAUCCCAGCGCAGGGCAGGAGAAUAAAGAGGAGGGUAGGUGCGCGGGCAGACAGGCCACACAGUGUCAGGUGCGGAACUUCCCAGACACUCCGGCCACCUGGGAUGGAGACGACUUGUCUUGAGGUUUGAAAUGACCCCCACUUCCUGCCAGAUGGAAAUCACCCUAGGUCCAGGGUCCUGGUCCCCGGGUCACCCAUUCCCUGCAGGGCCAGUGUGUGUGAGCACGGAGGAGUCGUCACCGAGAGCCUUGCCCGGGGCCCCGUCGUCAGGCGCAGGGCCAGGCGGCCGAGUUCAGAGCCGCUUUGAUUCGGGAGAGCUGAUUUUGAAGGCAGAGUGAUUCUGGGCUCUGAAUCAGAAAUAGGCCCAUCCAUAAUGCAUGGGCCUCAUUCUAAAGACAAGGGAAGGGAGUCUAAAUCUAGCACAGGCUGGAAAAAGAUGGAGAGUGAUUGAGAAAGCCCCCGAGCCAAGCCCGCGCCCCUCACCUCUGGGGAGCCUGGCGGGCACUGGUGUUAGGAAGAUCUGCAGGGGAGAUGGAGGGGACGGGAGGUGACAGAUAAGAUCAGCACAGGCGUUUCCUGACUCAGGGAGAACUUUGUGUCAUUACUCUAGAUCCUCUUGAGGAUCUUAUUUGGGGAUUUUCCGGUUGGCUGUGGUGUUUGCCAACUGGACCCUUCUAAGCAUCCUGGGUGGGGUGGGGGCCACCUAUGGGUCGGGGGACCUGGCUGAACCUCUGUGGUCUGAAAUGACCCCCUCCCCCCAGGCCAGACCUGUCUAGCCUGUUAAGCGACAUUUCUAGAGCCUGCAGCCACCCAUGCGCUGGUGCCAAAGGUCUGGUCAGUCUGGUGACCGCAGAGGGACUUCAUUUGCUGCUGACACUAGGUGGAUUGAUUAAGGUGAGUUUGGAAGCCAUCUGCAGCGGGUCCACAGGUCUGAGUCCUGACUCUGUGCCUGUGAACGUGACCUGGUUGGAAACACGGGUUUUCGCCAGUGGACUGUGGGGACGGGGAGGGGGUCUCUGGAUUUGGGUGAGCCUACACCCAGGGGCCGGUGUCUUUAUGAGAGAGCGGGCCAGCGGCGCACAGGGAGGAGCCACGAGAAGCUCGGGGUUGGGUGACGCUCCCUGAGCCAAAGCUUGCAGAGUCCCCAGCAGCUGCCAGCGGCGGGGAGGACCCUCCCUGGGGGCUUCAGAUGCAGAGGACCCUGCAGGCACCUCGACUCAGGCCUUCGGCCUCUGGAACACGAGCGUGAGAAACCCCCCCGUUUACGGCCGUCCAGGGGUGGUGGUUUGUCACAGGUGGCUUUAGGAGAGGGACGGAAUGUUCCAGAUCUCAGUCUCUCUGGUCUCACUCUGUCCGGUUUGCUGUCCCUUUUAUGUCUCAGCCUCAGGGGUUUCCUUGAAGUUUCCUGUUCCCUCCCACCUUCCCCAGUCACCACGUCCACCCGUGCUGUCCCUGGACUGUGGCUUGUCUCGCUGACCCCCCGCCCCCCAAUGGCCCCCGGGAAUCCUACUCCAUGGAGACAGACCUUGUGCCACGGGGCAUCCAGUGCAUCCGUGUCCCGGGCGCUGCGCCCGGCCAGCACCUGGCCCUGCAUCCCAGUGAUUGGCGGGUCUUUCCCACAGAGGCCGAGGGGCCGCUCAGCCCCCACUGCGCUGCAGGCCGCUGACCUUUGUAUGAGAGAUUUUCUUUCUAAAGAAAUGUUGGUGUGGACUCGGGCAGCCUCCCGCUCAGGGGGAGACGCUGGACACUUGGCAUGGAGCCGGGUCCACGUGCUGGUUUUGCCUUUCCAGGGUCCCCACUGUCCCCGUCCUUGGCUCCUGGCCCUCCACCCUCCACCUACAGUCUGGGUCCCCAUCUCUUUUGCUGUCACCUCACGUCUCAUUCUUAGGCUCUGGCCUCAGCCUCCCUCUGAGGACCCUGGUGAUUCUGCUGUGCCCACGUGCCCAUCUUUCCUAUGAGGUUCACACUCUGGGACUCCUUCUCCAUCCCCCAGAAUCGCUUUCUGGACCCCAGGACAGGGCUAAAGGUACCUGUGUGUGAGUGUCUCAUCCUGGGGGCCCUGGGCCUUCCUCCGCAGCGACUCACCAGCCGCCUGCCCCAGGAAGCAGCCCUCAGGAUCCCCUGGCCUCUGCAGCACUGACCAGUGCUGGGACCAUGCCGGGAGCGGCUUCCAGGGUCCCGGAGAAUAUUCCCACGCGGAGGCGGGAGACGGAGCGACGGGGACGUGGGGUGACGACAGCAGGGCUGGGUCUGCCCCCACCUCCCCCGCACCCCCUGCUGCCCCCCAGCCAGCUGCCCGAGCUCUUCCUCUGCCUCCUCGCCCCUCGGGCCUCUGCCCUUACUGUUUCCUGUACCUGGAGGCCAUUUUCCCGGAGGCGUUCAGGAUGGAGGAUCGCUCUGUCAUUCAACUCCAGGGUCACCUCCUUGGGAAGGCUUUUCCUAUUGUUUUGCUAGGGCCACAGACGGGUGGCCUCCAUGACAGGAGAACACUGUCAGCCGGUUCCGGAGGCUCAGGCCAGGGUCGAGGGGAGGCCUCCUCCCGGCCGCAGACGGUGUCCUUCCCGGUGUCUUCCUAUGGCCUGGCCCCUGUGUGUCUGCGCCCUCAUCACCUACUCAAGGUCACCGAGGACGCGAGCCAUCCUGGAUGAGGGCCUCAGUUCAACUUAAUCAGCACUUUAAAGACUGUCUCCGACACCGUCACAAAGGGGGGGACGGGGUGGGGACUUCAGCACGCAGACCAGGCCAAGGUUUGUUGGUUCUGCCCACAGGCCCGGCAUGUGUAUCCAGUGCCCUAUUCUGUCUCCUUGGGGCGCUUGUGCCUCUCUAAUGUCACCUUAAUUGUGUUCCUGCUCAUUUUUUUGGUUACUGGCUACAGAGCAGGGCUGUCUGGUGGCAAUAGGACACCAGUGUAAAGGUCCCCAUGCGGAGAGUUUGGCAGUUUCCGGUGACCACGUGGGGAAAGUGGAAAGAGACGGCUGGACUCACUCUUACUAGUGCAUUUUAUUUCAUCCCCUAUAUCAAGAUCACUAAUAUUUCCACAUGUAGCCAACAUGAAUACCAGACAUUUCACUUCUUGUUUCUACUGUCUUUAAAUCUGGUGGGUUUUUAAAA